UGAGACACGGACCAGACUCCUACGGGAGGCAGCAGUGAGGAAUAUUGGUCAAUGGGCGAGAGCCUGAACCAGCCAAGUCGCGUGAGGGACGACGGCCCUACGGGUUGUAAACCUCUUUUGCCGGGGGACAAACGGCGGCACGCGUGCCGUCCUGAGGGUACCCGGAGAAAAAGCAUCGGCUAACUCCGUGCCAGCAGCCGCGGUAAUACGGAGGAUGCGAGCGUUAUCCGGAUUUAUUGGGUUUAAAGGGUGCGUAGGCGGGAUGCCAAGUCAGCGGUCAAAUACGGGGGCUCAACCUGCGUCCGCCGUUGAAACUGGCGUUCUUGAGUGGGCGAGAAGUACGCGGAAUGCGUGGUGUAGCGGUGAAAUGCAUAGAUAUCACGCAGAACCCCGAUUGCGAAGGCAGCGUACCGGCGCCCAACUGACGCUGAAGCACGAAAGCGUGGGUAUCGAACAGGAUUAGAUACCCUGGUAGUCCACGCAGUAAACGAUGAACACUAAUUGUCCGGCGGGGUUUGCCGCUGG
rnacentral:rRNA from 1 species